rnacentral:rRNA from 1 species
GGACGAGUAAGAGCCCGCAAGGGAGUUCUGCUAGUGGCAAACGGGUGCGGAACACGUGGGAAUCUCCCCUUAGGUGCGGAACAACAGCUGGAAACGGCUGCUAAUACCGCAUAAUAUCUCUGGAUUAAAGAUUUAUCGCCUAAGGAUGAGCCCGCGUUAGAUUAGCUAGUUGGUGGGGUAAUGGCUCACCAAGGCUACGAUCUAUAGCUGGUCUGAGAGGACGAUCAGCCACACUGGGACUGAGAUACGGCCCAGACUCCUACGGGAGGCAGCAGUAGGGAAUAUUGGACAAUGGAGGCAACUCUGAUCCAGCCAUGCCGCGUGAAUGAUGAAGGCCUUAGGGUUGUAAAGUUCUUUUAGUGGGGAAGAUAAUGACGGUACCCACAGAAAAAGCCCCGGCUAACUCUGUG